rnacentral:rRNA from 1 species
CCUACGGGAGGCAGCAGUGGGGAAUCUUGCGCAAUGGGCGAAAGCCUGACGCAGCAACGCCGCGUGCGGGAUGAAGGCCUUCGGGUUGUAAACCGCUUUCAGCAGGGACGAAGAUGACGGUACCUGCAGAAGAAGCCCCGGCCAACUACGUGCCAGCAGCCGCGGUAACACGUAGGGGGCGAGCGUUGUCCGGAUUUAUUGGGCGUAAAGAGCUCGUAGGCGGUUCCGUCAGUCGGGUGUGAAAACUCUGGGCUCAACCCCGAGAGACGCCACCCGAUACUGCGGUGACUAGAGUCCGGUAGGGGAGUGCGGAAUUCCUGGUGUAGCGGUGAAAUGCGCAGAUAUCAGGAGGAACACCAACGGCGAAGGCAGCACUCUGGGCCGGUACUGACGCUGAGGAGCGAAAGCGUGGGGAGCGAACAGGAUUAGAUACCCUGGUAGUCCACGCCGUAAACGUUGGGCACUAGGUGUGGGACCUUUCCAACGGGUUCCGUGCCGCAGCUAACGCAUUAAGUGCCCCGCCUGGGGAGUACGGCCGCAAGGCUAAAACUCAAAGGAAUUGACGG